UACGUAGGGCGCAAGCGUUAAUCGGAAUUAUUGGGCGUAAAGCGCGCGCAGGCGGCUUUGCAAGACAGAUGUGAAAUCCCCGGGCUCAACCUGGGAACUGCAUUUGAGACUGAAUAGCUAGGGUGAGGAAGAGGGAAGCGGAAUUUCCGGUGUAGUGGUGAAAUGCGUAGAUAUCGGGAGGAACACCAGUGGCGAAGGCGACUACCUGGCCUGUUCUUGACGCUGAGGCGCGAAAGCUAGGGGAGCAAACGGG
rnacentral:rRNA from 1 species